rnacentral:rRNA from 1 species
UACGAAGGGGGCUAGCGUUACUCGGAUUUACUGGGCGUAAAGGGCGCGUAGGCGGCUUGUACAGUCAGACGUGAAAUUCCUGGGCUCAACCUGGGGGCUGCGUUUGAUACGUGCGGGCUUGAGUUCGGAAGAGGGUCGUGGAAUUCCCAGUGUAGAGGUGAAAUUCGUAGAUAUUGGGAAGAACACCCGUGGCGAAGGCGGCCAGCUGGGCCGACCCUGACGCUGAGGCGCGAAGGCGUGGGGAGCGAACGGG